GGCACAAGUGAUGAUCUGACAGGGGACUUAAUUCUGAAGCCUGAUUGAUACUCACUAUGACAAGCUGAUGUGC